rnacentral:tRNA from 1 species
GAGAUUGUAGUCAACAAUGAUAUUUGCCUUGCACGCAAAAGGUGCUAUUAAGCUAAUCUUG